AAGACUCUAAUUUCAAGGAUCACUUCUAUAGUGCAUUACUAGAGAAGACUGCCAGAUCAAUGCUCUAAGUCACACAAAAUUACCAGUCAUUCCUAAGG
rnacentral:snoRNA from 1 species